rnacentral:rRNA from 1 species
AUUGAACGCUGGCGGAAUGCUUUACACAUGCAAGUCGAACGGCAGCACGGGGCAACCUGGUGGCGAGUGGCGAACGGGUGAGUAAUACAUCGGAACGUGCCCAAUCGUGGGGGAUAACGUAGCGAAAGUUACGCUAAUACCGCAUACGAUCUACGGAUGAAAGCGGGGGAUCGCAAGACCUCGCGCGAAUGGAGCGGCCGAUGUCAGAUUAGGUAGUUGGGGGGGUAAAGGAUCACCAAGCCAACGAUCUGUAGAUGGUCUGAGAGGACGACCAGCCACACUGGGACUGAGACACGGCACAGAAUCCUACGGGAGGCAGCAGUGGGGAAUUUUGGACAAUGGGCGCAAGCCUGAUCCAGCCAUUCCGCGUGCAGGAUGAAGGCCUUCGGGUUGUAAACUGCUUUUGUACGGAACGAAACGGUUCUCUCUAAUACAGGGGGCUAAUGACGGUACCGUAAGAAUAAGCACCGGCUAACUACGUGCCAGCCGCCGCUGUAAAAC